rnacentral:lncRNA from 1 species
GCUUAGGUUCUAGAUGGGAGAAGGGAAAUAUAUCCUGGAGCCUCUAUCUGGCAUGGGCAUUGUACCCCCAAAACUAUAAAGGUGUUUCAGGCAAACUAUAAGCUGAGAAAUUCCUUUGCCCCCUUCUAUCAUUGUGACUCCUAACCCCAAACAUCUGAUAACUCCUAUAAGACCCUGAGAGAAUUAUCUUCCUUGGAUCUUCCUUUAGAUGGACAAAGAUACACCUCCUUGAUUCAUCAAGUUGUAUGUCAGACAUUCAUCUGUCUUCUAAACUGUGAGGGUCACUCCCUAUGUCUUCAGGCAAACCUCCUGCCCAUGCCUCGGUGCAUAUCACUCUUAGAGUCACGUCUUCACUGUGGCAGAGUCACGUCUUCACUGUUGUAAAGAGUAUAAAGACCCCAGAAUUGAUGUCAUCUAGGAACAGCUUUCCAUCUAUGUAGCUCCACCUAGGAGGCAGUCUUCCACCUAUGCUGUCCUCCUGGCCAGAUUCAACACCUUCUAAGUUAAUAAAUUUCUUUUUAUUUUUAGGCUAAGUUUCAGUCUUGCAUCCUUGCAAAAGGUGCCCUUCCCAAACCCUAGGGUUCACCUCAAGCCCCCCACAACAUAUCCAGUGUAGACCCUAAUCACCAGUCAAGCAAAUCACUGGAAAUCAAAUAAAGCAUUUAAUAAAUAAAUAAAUAAGGAGGUCCUAAAACAUGGGACACAUCCUGACCAUCACUGAAAAGCCUGUAGCUCUCUUAGAUUUUUCUUUACAUCUGUCUAGUGCAUGGGUCAUGUUUUGUUUUUAUCAUAGGUAUUCACAUUUGUCUUAGAGCUUCCUUUUAAUCCAUAAAUUCUAUGCUUUAUCUAAACCUGAUACCUACCCUGGUUAGUGCCUAGCACAGUGCUCUCACAGGUACUAAAUGGACGUCUUCUUCUACUGAACUCAAUUCCCAGCAGACAUACAAUUCUGUCCUGACUACAUGUCAGCACUGAGAUAUUCUCUGGAACCACCAAGUGUUCUCCACCUUUGAUGAAUAUUUCUACUUGAUUAGAAAUCAUUUUUUAAGCAAGUCUUCCUUCCUUCUUUUCUUCUUUUCUCUUUCUUCCUUCCUUCCUUCCUUCCUUCCUUCCUUCCUUUCUCUUCCUUCCUUCCUUCCUUUCUUUCUUUCUUUCUUUCUUUCUUUCUUUCUUUCUUUCUUUCUUUCUUUCUUUCUUUCUUUCUUUCUUUCUUUCUUUCUUUCUUUCUUUCUUUCUUUCUUCCUUCCUUCCUUCCUUCCUUCCUUCCUUCCUUCCUUCCUUCCUUCCUUCCUUCCUCCCUUUUUCUUUCUUUCUUUCUUUCUUUCUUUCUUUCUUUCUUUCUUUCUUUCUUUCUUUCUUUCUUUCUUUCUUUCUUUCUUUCUUUCUUUCUUUCUUUCUUUCUUUCUUUCUUUCUUUCUUUCUUUCUUUCUUUCUUUCUUUCUUCUGAAGCUUAUGUCAUUGGGGAAGAAACCUGGCAUGAGCCUUCAGUCAUGCCCAUACAAUUAAUUUCUUAGAAGAUUUUGAAUUGGGACUAUCCCAGGAGUUUCUACUCAUUUGUCCAUUUGCCCUGAAAUAAUCACACAUUUUUUUUUCUAGCAGGGGAGAGGAAAGGGAAAAGGCAACCAAAUGCCAAGCUUUAUCUCUGCCCUGCUGUUAACCCCAUUCUCAAGUGACAUCACCAAUGCCCCCCUUCAAAAAAUUAAAUAUACUGAGAGUAGAUUAAAUAGAAUGUCUGAUUCAGAGCCAGGAAAAUAUUUCUACUGUGAAGCCCCAUUCUCUGUCAUUAACUGACUGGUUUUAAGAGUAAUGCUAGCAUCUCCCAUUUGUCUAAACAAUAGGGUAUUUUUUUGUUUGUUUGUUUUUUUCUUUUUGACAAUGUAGCAACAACUGAGUUGAAGUAACUUCCCUAGUUUGGGGUUUUUCUUCUCAAGAAAAGUACUCUAUGACAAAUUAUUCAACAAAGCAAUAGGAAUUCGUUUUCUAGACAUUAGAGUGACUUCAUCUUGAAUAUCAUGACUUCAUUUACUAGGCAUUACAUUACUGUCCUGUAGCUCAUUUAUUUUAUACCUAGGGGGUACCCAAUAAAUAUUUGUUGAAUGAAUAAAUAAAUAAAUAC